UGGAACUGGCCUUGAGAAUGGGAGUGCCUACUCCUCCCUCAACAGCUGACGUAAAAGGGAGAACUUCCUGGAGGCCAGCCAAGAGCCUACUGGGGCAUAAUCAGGCUGCCCAGCUUGUUGGCUUGGACAUGGCUCCUCUCCACUUAGGAGGCUCUGCCCACUCACAUUCCAGGCCUCAGCUUGCCAUGUUUUCCUGUUAAGCCCAGAACCCUUCCCCUGGGUCCCUUCCUCAGAGGGGACAUGUUGGGAGCCACAGUCUCAGAGAUACUUGGGAUUUUAAACAUGAUGCAACUCUAGGGCUGACUUUGGAAUUCUGUGGGCUGUGCUUGGCCCAGAUCCCACCUUUGGGCCACUUUUGCUGCUGCUAUUAUUUUUAGUUGGUGGGGCAAUCAUUGUGUGCCUUUGUACAGUUUUCAUUUGGGAAGCCUUAGAGCUCUUUAACUCCACUCCAUUCUAUCACAUCCUUGUUUAGCAAUGAUCAUCCUUUUGCAUUACAAACUAGAAAAGCAACUCCGUAAGACUAACAAACUCUCUUCAACCAAGUAAAGGAGACUCCUUGUGGAGGGGAGCCCCUGCCCGCUCACCUGGAUGACCAUGCCUCACCUCUGCCGAUCACAUGCAAAUAUUUGUCCUGUUCUGAGACAUCCUCCUGGGUCCCAGCUUCUUCUCUUGAAGAUACAGAUUUCCAGUGCACCAUCAGAAGCCGAAGUAACUGUGAGUGGGAGGCAUUGGAGCCGGCUGGGAGGUAAGCAUUCGGGCCAGCAGGGAGGAGGAGUCGCCCAUGUAGCAGUGCUGGAUGACAACAUUCCCACACUGCCCUCGGACACAUCACAGACCCUGGUACCACAGGAUCCCUCUGAUUCAACUGAAGAGAGAUGCAGAGCUGCAUGCCACCAAGAACAUGUCUGGCCUGAUUUGAAGCUGCUACAUCUACUUUGAAAGAAGCCACAUAACCUUUGCUGCUACUUCAUUUCAAGUUUUCCUUUGAAUUUUCUAUUUCCUGAGCUGGGAGAAAUGAGAGGAUGCACCCUCUCCCUUUCUAACAGGCCCUUCUCACUUGCUCUGAUGAGUCUGGCUCUCAAGUGAGCUGCCCUGAUGGAGAGGCCCGCAUGUCCAGAAUGAAGCAUACCUUCUGCCAACAGCCAUCAAGGAACUGAAUCCUUCCUACAACCACGUGGGCAACAUUCGAAGGAAAUCCCCCCCUAGCCAAGCUUUGAGAUGACUACAGCCCCAGUGUACACCUCCAUUGCAGUUUUAUAAAAGACCUGAGACAGAGGACCCAGCUAAGCCAUGGGCCAGCCAGGAUUUCCUGACCUAUAAUAACUGUGAAAUAGAAUAAUAAAUGUUGUUGUUGUAAGUCACUACUUUUCUGACUAAUUUGACAUGCAGCAAUAGAUAACUAAUUUCAGGAACAAGGACAAAGAGUAAGAACUAAUCAUGGCCCACCUGAACCAUUCACGUACUAAGCAGAGACAGUCAGAAGAACAAGUAUUGACAUCCUGCCCCUGUCCCCCUCUACAGGUAGAAAUAAAAUUUUCCUGAUUCCCAGUACUUUGGGAGGCUGAGACAGGCAGAUUACCUGAGGUCAGGAGUUCGGGACCAGCCUGACCAAUACGGUUAUACUUUGUCUCUACUAAAAAUACAAAAAUUAGCUGGGUAUGGUGGUGGGCACCUGUAAUCCCAGCUACGUGGGAGGCUGAGACAGGAGAAUUGCUUGAACCUGGAAGUCAGAGGUUGCAGUGAGCUGAGAUCAUACCAUUGCACUCCAGCCUGAGUGACAGAGCAUGAAUCCAUCUCAAAAAAAAAAAAAAUUACCACCUUAACCAUUUUUUUUUUCAAAAGGACUUCACUCAUGGAAGAAAAACUUUACUUGCUGUUUCAAAAAAAUAUUUGUGUGAAGCAGAAAUUGGUUUCAAUAACAUUAGUAAAGAAUACAUCCUGGAAAAUAGAUAAAACUGGAUGUAAAAUUCUGGCAGCAAUUUAAUUGGACAGUCCCAGAUGGUUAGGCUGAGGAUAAAUGUCUUGUCUGUGGGGAAUUUUGGACGACACCUGGAGAAAGAUUACACUGCGCCUAAACCAAAUUGAGUUGCUUUCACAAGCCUUGUAAAAUUUCAUAUAGUAAAAGGUUUUUUCUAUAUGCACUUCAAUUUCAUAGCAAGAAUGGCAAAGAAUACCUAAAUGCAGAAGAGAGCAUUCAUGCAAUAUAUCUAACUACUUGAUAUAAUAACACAUACAAUUCAAAAAUGAUUACACUCUCAUUAUAUCUAGGGUUUCUGAAACUACAAGGUAGUAGUUAUGGAAAGCAUGGCCCCUGGUUUCAACAUCUAAAAA
rnacentral:lncRNA from 1 species